rnacentral:rRNA from 1 species
AUUGAACGCUGGCGGCAUGCCUUACACAUGCAAGUCGAACGGCAGCACGGAGCUUGCUCUGGUGGCGAGUGGCGAACGGGUGAGUAAUAUAUCGGAACGUACCCUAGAGUGGGGGAUAACGUAGCGAAAGUUACGCUAAUACCGCAUACGAUCUAAGGAUGAAAGUGGGGGAUCGCAAGACCUCAUGCUCGUGGAGCGGCCGAUAUCUGAUUAGCUAGUUGGUAGGGUAAAAGCCUACCAAGGCAUCGAUCAGUAGCUGGUCUGAGAGGACGACCAGCCACACUGGAACUGAGACACGGUCCAGACUCCUACGGGAGGCAGCAGUGGGGAAUUUUGGACAAUGGGCGAAAGCCUGAUCCAGCAAUGCCGCGUGAGUGAAGAAGGCCUUCGGGUUGUAAAGCUCUUUUGUCAGGGAAGAAACGGUGAAAGCUAAUAUCUUUUGCUAAUGACGGUACCUGAAGAAUAAGCACCGGCUAACUACGUGCCAGCAGCCGCGGUAAUACGUAGGGUGCAAGCGUUAAUCGGAAUUACUGGGCGUAAAGCGUGCGCAGGCGGUUUUGUAAGUCUGAUGUGAAAUCCCCGGGCUCAACCUGGGAAUUGCAUUGGAGACUGCAAGGCUAGAAUCUGGCAGAGGGGGGUAGAAUUCCACGUGUAGCAGUGAAAUGCGUAGAUAUGUGGAGGAACACCGAUGGCGAAGGCAGCCCCCUGGGUCAAGAUUGACGCUCAUGCACGAAAGCGUGGGGAGCAAACAGGAUUAGAUACCCUGGUAGUCCACGCUCUAAACGAUGUCUACUAGUUGUCGGGUCUUAAUUGACUUGGUAACGCAGCUAACGCGUGAAGUAGACCGCCUGGGGAGUACGGUCGCAAGAUUAAAACUCAAAGGAAUUGACGGGGACCCGCACAAGCGGUGGAUGAUGUGGAUUAAUUCGAUGUAACGCGAAAAACCUUACCUACCCUUGACAUGGCUGGAAUCCUUGAGAGAUCAGGGAGUGCUCGAAAGAGAACCAGUACACAGGUGCUGCAUGGCUGUCGUCAGCUCGUGUCGUGAGAUGUUGGGUUAAGUCCCGCAACGAGCGCAACCCUUGUCAUUAGUUGCUACGAAAGGGCACUCUAAUGAGACUGCCGGUGACAAACCGGAGGAAGGUGGGGAUGACGUCAAGUCCUCAUGGCCCUUAUGGGUAGGGCUUCACACGUCAUACAAUGGUACAUACAGAGCGCCGCCAACCCGCGAGGGGGAGCUAAUCGCAGAAAGUGUAUCGUAGUCCGGAUUGUAGUCUGCAACUCGACUGCAUGAAGUUGGAAUCGCUAGUAAUCGCGGAUCAGCAUGUCGCGGUGAAUACGUUCCCGGGUCU